UGAAAAUUAUUGAGCAAGGACACUGUGG
rnacentral:piRNA from 1 species